rnacentral:rRNA from 1 species
GAUGAACGCUGGCGGCGUGCCUAAUACAUGCAAGUCGAGCGAACAGACGAGGAGCUUGCUCCUCUGACGUUAGCGGCGGACGGGUGAGUAACACGUGGAUAACCUACCUAUAAGACUGGGAUAACUUCGGGAAACCGGAGCUAAUACCGGAUAAUAUAUUGAACCGCAUGGUUCAAUAGUGAAGGACGGUUUUGCUGUCACUUAUAGAUGGAUCCGCGCCGCAUUAGCUAGUUGGUAAGGUAACGGCUUACCAAGGCGACGAUGCGUAGCCGACCUGAGAGGGUGAUCGGCUACACUGGAACUGAGACACGGUCCAGACUCCUACGGGAGGCAGCAGUAGGGAAUCUUCCGCAAUGGGCGAAAGCCUGACGGAGCAACGCCGCGUGAGUGAUGAAGGUCUUCGGAUCGUAAAACUCUGUUAUUAGGGAAGAACAAAUGUGUAAGUAACUAUGCACGUCUUGACGGUACCUAAUCAGAAAGCCACGGCUAACUACGUG